UCUCCGUUGGUGAACCAGCGGAGGGAUCAUUACCGAGUUUACAACUCCCAAACCCUUAUGUGAACCGUACCUAUCGUUGCUUCGGCGGGAACGCCCCGGCGCCCUGCGCCCGGAUCCAGGCGCCCGCCGGAGGUCUUAAACCCUGAAUUCUAGUGUAUCUCUGAGGAUGAAAAAAAACCAAUUAAAACUUUCAACAACGGAUCUCUUGGCUCUG
rnacentral:misc_RNA from 1 species